UACGUAGGAUCCGAGCGUUGUCCGGAUUUACUGGGUGUAAAGGGGGCGCAGGCGGGCUGGUGAGUCUGGGGUGAAAUCUCGCCGCUUAACGGCGAAACUGCCUUAGAUACUAUCAGUCUUGAAUCAGCGAGAGGUUCGUGGAAUUCCGAGUGUAGCAGUGAAAUGUGUAGAUAUUCGGAAGAACACCAGUGGCGAAGGCAGCGAACUGGCGCUCGAUUGACGCUCAGGCACGAAAGCAUGGGGAUCAAACAGG
rnacentral:rRNA from 1 species